AUUGAUAACGUCACAUCAUUUAGAAUUCUUUUUUAAGAUAAUAAAAAAUUUAGGUUUGUGUAGCACUACUUAUUGACUUGUCCCCUUACAUUUAGCUUUGUGAUAGGUGUCAAAGUUUAAGUUAAUUAAAUUCACUGUUAACUAUAGCCAAAAGGAACCUAAAUUAUGAUAAAGAAAUGGAUGGGGUUAUAUGUACUCUAAAAAUUAUUAUGAUAAAGAACUGAAUAGAGUUAUAUGCACUCCAAAAAUUACUUUGAGCACUCUAUUAUUAUGUACACUCAUCUAUUAAAUUUUAAAAAAAUGAAUUAUACUUUGUACACUCUUUAAAAUACCAAAAAAGUCCUCACUUAAUCCUUUUUAAAUUAAUUAUCUUUACUUAGGAGGCGUUUGUUUUUUAACUUAAUAACUUAAAGUGACUUAACUUAAUUAAUUAAGUUAAUUAGAAGUGUUUGUUUUUAUAACUUAAUGAGACUUUUUAGAUAAUUUUGACUUAAUAAAAUAAGCCAAUUUUUUUGGCUUUUUACUUAAUGGAGAAAUUUGAAUUAAGUCAAUUACUUACUAAUAUAAAAAAUAUCCAUGUUUUAUAAUUUAUUUUUCAUGUCUAUCCCAAAACUCACUCAUAGACAUUUACCCCAUAUAAAAAUAUCCAUGUUUUUUCUUUCUUAUAUUAUAUAUGAAAAAUUUUGAAAUUUAUGGUAUUUUAUAUAUUAAAAUUCCAAAAUAAUUAUAUAUUCACUUUAAUAUAGUUUUACUUAUAAAUGCUAAAAUAUUGUGGUAUUUAAUAUAUUAUUUAUUUGACAUUCAAAUUUAAUAAGGAUACAAAUGUAAAAGUACAUAUUUUCAGCUUUUUCAGUUAAAAAAAACAAACAACUUAAUACUUAUUUUCCGAGAUUCAGACAAAAAAACAAACAUAUUAUUCAGAUUCAGACAUUCAGAUCUAUUCAGAAUUCAGAUUAAUUCAGAUCUAUUCAGAUUUCAGACAAAAAAACAAACGCCACCUUACUCUACACACUCAUGAAAAUGCUAUAGUCAAACAAAUAAAUCAAUUGCUGCUUCUUCGCAUGCUAAAAGCAUUGUUCUUGUGAGGUAUUGAAGUUAAACACCCUAACUCUUCUAUCCGUAAUUGAAACUGAAGAAAUAUUAAUACACUUAAAAUAAAACUUCUUUCUUUCUUUCUUUCUUCCUUCCUCAGAAAAAAUUAGGGUGGAAGAGAAGAAAGAGGUUGACUAGAAUUCAUUAUGGCUGGAAACAAGCAAAAGAAAUCUUCUUUCUCUCUACGCAACAUGUUCAAAUCGCGGAGGACUAAUCGAAGAGGGGAAGAUCUGUGGGAUGAUGUAGGAAGCACAGCAAGAAAAAAUUGCCCAAGUGAUGAAGAAAAAGGUGCUUAUUGGGUUGCUGAGCCUGGAAUUGACAGAAAAGCUUUAGCUUUUAUUGCAAAAUUUCAUGAAACUCGCACCUCAGAAUCCGAACACCAUGCAGGUUAUCAAGAUACCAAGACUUGACGACAAUAAGUCAAUAACGCUGAUUGUAGUAUAUACAUAUAAGCUUAAUUCUAAUUUAUGUUAAUUUUCUUGUGUUUUUGGUACUAUUUGUUUCAAAAUAUGUGUAUAAGGAGCUUGUAAAAUUAUAAUAAUAAAAUGUUCUUAAUAGUAAUUUAUAUUACAGAUAUCUUUGUAAUAAAUUUUUUUAUAAAAAUGUGAGUGUUUAGAGUACUUUUUAGAGUGCAUGUAGCCCCACCUUAAGAAAUUGUUUGCUUCUUUGUGUGUAUGGUGGAAGAGACCGUGAUUGAGUUGAAGUAUUGGAGAUAAUAAUGAUACAACUACAACAUCUAAAGUAUGAAUUGAUGUACAUUAUAUGAGUGCUUGAAUAAUAACAUCAACAUGAUUUAAUUUUAUUAUUUUAUAUUUCAAUUCAGUUAAUUAUAGAAUGUCACAUUAAUUUGUACUAAAAUUCUAAUUUAUAAUACUAUUUUGUGGAAAAAGGGCAUGCAUGUAUAUUUGUCAUUGUGAAAUAAAUAUAUUAUAAUUGUUAUAGAAAAUGACAUUAUAUUAUUAUAUAUGGCAAUGUUGUAUUUAGGUUUCUGCAAAGAUAAAAGAGAAAAAAACAAAAAAACAUUUCUAUGGUUUGUAAAAUUUAUAAUCUACCAGCUAUCAACUUUUAAACUUCAAGAUCUGUAUUUGCGGAGCCAAUUGAAUUAUGCUCAUACAUAAAUUAUUUACUUACGUAAAUUUAGUUGCUUAUAGUGAUACCUGCUUCGAGUGAUACACUAAUUUUCCAAAGAACAAAAUUGCACGCGCUAAUAA
rnacentral:lncRNA from 1 species